AGUCAUUUCAGCAAAAAAAAAAAUUCCUUUAGUAACCCUUUAACCUAAACUAGAUAUGUUUUUUCCAGUUACCUGUUGUACCCCCUUGUAUACAAACUGAACCAUCACCGCACUUCUGAGGUCUCUGGCCUUUGAGCAUGUUCCAUCUUCACUGACCCGGCUGGGUCCAGCAGGGCGGGGGCCAUCCACCUGUGAGGCAUGCAACGACGCCCCAACACUUUACCUAACACACCAUUUAAUUGUUCCAAAGCUCCCGAAGAAGCGGCCACGUCCCGCAAAACUAGUAGAGCAAUUUCUGGAACUCUUUGUAUGUAUGUCAAGAAUUGAACAGUGUGGACCCAGGCCAGACUAGUCCGUAUCAGCGACGGCGACAACAACAAUUAUUACCUGUGGUCCUCUCAUCUGGUUUCAUAUUCUUACAACAUUUUUAACAUUAUGUAUUUUAUAGUCUUAUUAGAUGCGCUUAGCAUCCUGUCUUAAUAUUGUACUAUUUUUUUCUCUUUAUUAAAAUAUCUUUUACUUUUUCAA